CCCUGGGUGGCUCAGUGGGUUGAGCAUCUGACUUCAGCUCAGGUCAUGACCUUGCCAUGGGUUCGAGCCCCACAUCAGGCU
rnacentral:tRNA from 1 species